rnacentral:rRNA from 1 species
AGAGACAGCAGUAGCCGCGGUAAUACGAAGGGGGCUAGCGUUGUUCGGAAUUACUGGGCGUAAAGCGCACGUAGGCGGAUAUUUAAGUCAGGGGUGAAAUCCCGCAGCUCAACUGCGGAACUGCCUUUGAUACUGGGUAUCUUGAGUAUGGAAGAGGUUAGUGGAAUUGCGAGUGUAGAGGUGAAAUUCGUAGAUAUUCGCAGGAACACCAGUGGCGAAGGCGGCUAACUGGUCCAUAACUGACGCUGAGGUGCGAAAGCGUGGGGAGCAAACAGGAUUAGAUACCCCGGUAGUCCCUGUCUCUUAUAA